AUGGUCGUAGAAGCCUUGUCGAAGAUGGUCACUAAUGCGCAGAAAGAAAAGAUGAUUACGGGGCUUGCACCUGACCUGAUAGAGGGAGGAGUGGCCAUCCUUCAAUAUGUAGAUGACACGGUGAUUUGCUUUGAGCAUGAUAAUGAUGCAGCUAUUAACCUGAAAAUGCUACUUUACAUGUUUGAGCUUAUGCCAGGUCUGAAAAUAAACUUCAUGAAAAGUGAAAUCCUUUGUGUGGGGGGAGAUGAUGACACCUUAUCCUUUUAUGCUGAUCUAUUCAACUGUAGUAUUGGUCAUUUCCCAAUGAAAUACUUGGGGGUACCAGUUAGUUUCUCAAAUCUGCGCAACAUAGAUUGGGAAUUCGUGGAGGAGAUAUUUCUAAAGUGUUGUGAAUCUUGGAUUGGCAAUGCAGCCUCUUCGGGUGGGCGCCUCAUCCUCCUCAAUACAUCCUUGACCAGCAUUGUUUAUUACUAUAUGUCUAUGUUUCUCCUGCCAAAAGGGGUGAUUGCCAAACUU
rnacentral:rRNA from 1 species